CAGAGGCCUCGAGCGUUAGGCGGAAUCACUGGGCUUAAAGCGUGUGUAGGCGGGCCCGUAAGUGUCUUGUGAAAUCCCACGGCUCAACCGUGGAACUGCUGGGCAUACUGCGGGUCUUGGGCCAACUAGGGGCAGCCGGAACAAGCGGUGGAGCGGUGAAAUGCGUAGAUAUCGCUUGGAACGCCGAAGGUGAAAACAGGCUGCUGGGGUUGCGCCGACGCUGAGACACGAAAGCCAGGGGAGCAAACGGGAUUAGAUACCCCGGUAGUCCUGGCCCUAAACGAUGUCCACUAGAUCGCGGCGCGGUUUGACCCGCCCGCGGUCGGAGCAAAAGUGUUAAGUGGACCGCCUGGGAAGUACGGUCGCAAGGCUA
rnacentral:rRNA from 1 species